GGUGUUUUUCUGACAGUUCAUCGCAGGUCUGAGUCUCUUUCUGAAGCGCUCAGUGUGUUAAAGUCAUGUGGGCGUUUGUCCCUCUGCUGUGUCUGACAGGCUCUGGAGUUCAGCGCCAAAACAUCAGACGGGAAACACUGUGCGAAGAAGCUGAAGCUGAUGGCGGAGCGGCGUCUGAGGAACAACCCAGCAGACGGCGCCUCCUACGGCAUUCUGGGAUACGUGGCCCAAGCUGAGGGCGACUGCAGGAGGGCGGCAACGUUCUACGAGAAAGCUCUGCAGAGAGACGCCGAGAACACCGAGUACCUGUCGGUUCUGUGUGAGCUCCGUCUGCAGCUGGACUGAGUCUGCAGCAGCAUCUUCAUCUCUACGGAACCAAAACACAACACAACAAGAGCAUAACACAAACGUAACAAGAACCUCUCAAUAAACUGUUAGCAUCAGGUCGGAGAAAGCUGCACGAGGAGAACCGAGUCUGAGCUCCUCUGACUGGACGCUCAGGGUCCAGGUUGGUUUUGGAAAACGUUCAGUUCAUUCUAGUCAAAGACAUCAGACAGUCUGCUUCCAACAGGUUUCAGGUGUUUCUAUAUCAAGCUUAACUCAUUUCAAACAUGUUCUGUAUCAUUCUGGAGAAGUUUUGAUUCACUUUAGAUGAUCUGACCUAAUUUUAGACGAGUUUUAAGACGUUUUGGACAAGUUAGUUUAAAUGUGGGCACUUUUGAACUCAUUUGGAUGAACCUGGACCAGCUGACGUCGCUUCAUAUCAGCUUGUAUGUGUGGUGCAUGUUGGUGAUGAUGGAUUAAACCUGGUGCUGAUGAAAGCUCU